GACAGAGGGUGCAAACGUUGUUCGGAAUUACUGGGCGUAAAGCGCGUGUAGGCGGCUAAGUAAGUCGGGCGUGAAAUCCCACGGCUCAACCGUGGAAGUGCACUCGAAACUGCAUAGCUAGAGUCCUGGAGAGGAAGGUGGAAUGCUUGGUGUAGAGGUGAAAUGCGCAGAUAUCAGGAGGAACACCGGUGGCGAAGGCGGGUCUCUGGGCCGAUACUGACGCUGAGGAGCGAAAGCGUGGGGAGCGAACAGG
rnacentral:rRNA from 1 species